AGACGCAGAACUUAGCUCAUCAGUGAGCAUCGGUACAAACAGGAUUUGUUCACAGUGGCUAAGUUCAGUGUCUGACAUGA
ensembl:miRNA